UCAAACGCCCCAGCGCUGUCUCGCCUUCCUCUUUCCCCCCACUUCUCCCUAGUCCAAAUCGUUGCAGUCUCCCUCCCGGUGCGGCGACGGCGCCGGAGCUGCCGCCGGCGAUGUUCCUGGAGCAGAUCCUCCCGCACCUACGGGGCGAGCGCCGCUGGGGGGGUGGGGUGAUGCGCGAUCUGGACGUCUCCCUGCGUGACCAGGGCCCGGUGCACUCGGUGGAGGAUACCAUGUUCCGAAGAUGCAGCUUGUUCGCGUCCGUGGCCCGCAUCGUGAGCGGCGCGGCAUCAGGUCUUGGUGGAGGAUUGCUCGCUCUCUGGUUUGCCACGGGACAAGUUCAGAAAUUGCUUGGGGUUCCACUUUCACGUCCUCCUGGAAUACUGAUGUUGGGCUAUGGUUGCGGUUGUUUUUCCUUGUACAUGAAGAUGCAGUAUUAUGAUCUCCAGAAGUGUUUUGCUGCAAUCGUUUUGGAGUAUGGACAAGAACACACGAAGAGGGAGCUAGCUAAAAUAAUACUCAAUAACCAAAGCACCGACAAAUCACUGGUUGAAGUUCUAAGGAGGCACUACGUGGUUGAUCAUCUAUUCAGUGACGAACAUCAAGAGAAGCCACUUUUCAGGUGGCGCCAACGCCAUUCGUAUGUGGACAACGCUUUUAUGGAAAGGUUGAAGGAGGAACUUACAGAAAUAGUGAAGAAAAAAGUUAUGGAAAGGGUGGAGAAGUAUUAAGCAAACAACACCGGGGCUGAAUCAAGUGCAAACGUUGUAAGUUCAGUUUAAUUUGCAGGGAUUAUUUGAGGAGGAUCCACUGGCUUGUAUACUUGGCACUACAGACAGCAACAGCACGAUGAACACGGGCACUAUCUUGAUGAGACCGGAGCUGCGCAUCGAAGAAGUUACUGGCAUCUACGUCUCCCACAUCCUGAAAACUGCCCCCAUCUCCAACAUGCUGGAAAUUGCUGCUGCAUUAUGAUGAAGUCUCUUAUCGGUGGUUAAAGAUUCUAGCCCUUCAUGCGUGCGUGCAACUGUCCUUGACAUAGUUUGCAGAGGCGUUACGUUUGAACAGGCGUGCUCGUGCGUGCAAUUCAACAAAUGGACACGUGUUAGGUUUGGUUGAAAUUCACAGCCUGCCCUCGCGAAACCAUGGGCUCGUUUGCUUGAUAUGCUUGCUAAUGAACACAUAUCUCGUUCUGCCGACGAGGUGUGGUAAGAUUUGACAAGGCAAUCAUCAGUACACUACUAAAUCUUUCUAAAAUGCGAUGAUAUUUA